CUACGGGGCGCACCAGUAGGGAAUUUUCGGCAAUGGGCGCAAGCCUGACCGAGCAACGCCGCGUGAGUGAUUAAGGCCUUCGGGUUGUAAAGCUCUGUUGUAAAGGAAGAACGAUCAGUAUAGGAAUGAUACUGAUGUGACGGUACUUUACCAGAAAGCCACGGCUAACUACGUGCCAGCAGCCGCGGUAAUACGUAGGUGGCAAGCGUUAUCCGGAAUUAUUGGGCGUAAAGGGAGCGUAGGCGGUUUAUUAAGUCUAUGGUGAAAGUGGGGGGCUCAACCCCGUAUGGCCAUAGAAACUGAUAGACUAGAGUGCAGAAGAGGGUAGUGGAAUUCCAUGUGUAGCGGUAAAAUGCGUAGAUAUAUGGAGGAACACCGGUGGCGAAGGCGGCUACCUGGUCUGUUACUGACGCUGAGGCUCGAAAGCGUGGGGAGCAAAUAGGAUUAGAUACCCUUGUAGUC
rnacentral:rRNA from 1 species